rnacentral:lncRNA from 10 species
AGAGCCUUGGAGACACUGAAAGUGAAAAACACUAGGAAAAGCUGCAGGAUUUUUGCAACCUGAGAUUGACAACAGAAUGCUAUUUUUAAUCCAGUCACAGAGAAAAAAGCCAUGUGAGGACACAGUGAGAAGCUGCUAUCUGCAAGCUGAGAAGAGAAACAUCACUAGAAACCAUCCCUGCUGGCACUUGAUCUUGACUUUCAGCUUUCAGAACUUUGAGAAAAUAAAUGUGUGUCGCUUAAGCCAGUUCAUCUUUAGUUAUUUUGUUAUGUCAGCCUGAGCAGAAUUAGACAAAUACUAAUAGUAAACUAUAAGGUAAACUGUAGGCUUUGGGUAAUGACGUGUCAAUAGAUUUAUCAAUUGUAACAAAUGUAUCACUGUGAUGUGGGACAUUGAUAGAGCAGGAUGUUGUGCAUGUGUGGGCUGUGUGGGAGCAAAUCAUAUAUGGGAAUUCUCUUAACAUUCUAUUGAAUUUUUCUAAGAACUUACAACUGAUCUAAAAAUAAAGUCUGUUUUUUUAAAAAAUAAUUGAUUUUCCGUCAUAUUAACAGAAUAAAGAAAAAAAUCACAUAGUCAUGUCAAUUUCUGCAGAAAAAUCAAUUGAUAAAAUUCAACUUUUAUUUAUAAUAAAACUUCUUAGCAC